rnacentral:rRNA from 1 species
UACGGAGGGGGCUAGCGUUGUUCGGAAUUACUGGGCGUAAAGCGCACGUAGGCGGCUUUGUAAGUUAGAGGUGAAAGCCCGGGGCUCAACUCCAGAACUGCCUUUGAAACUACAUCGCUAGAAUCAUGGAGAGGUUAGUGGAAUUCCGAGUGUAGAGGUGAAGUUCGUAGAUAUUCGGAAGAACACCAGUGGCGAAGGCGACUAACUGGACAUGUAUUGACGCUGAGGUGCGAAAGCGUGGGGAGCAAACAGG